UAAAAUAACCAAAAUAGCACCUUUCUAAGUUUAUCCUUUGAAAAUUUUAAUUUUUUAAUUUUUCAAAAUUUGAAAUCUUAUCCCCAAAACCUCAUUUCUCAACUCUAAACCCUAAACCCUAAACCCUAAACUCUAAACUCUAAACCCUAAACCCUAAACCCUAAACCCUAAAAUCUAAACCCUAAACCCUAAACCCUAAACUUUAAACCCUAAACCCUAAACCCUAAACCCUAAAUCCUAAACCCCACCCU
rnacentral:lncRNA from 1 species